rnacentral:rRNA from 1 species
GAGCGGACAGAAGGGAGCUUGCUCCCCGGAUGUUAGCGGCGGAGGGGUGAGUAACACGUGGGUAACCUGCCUGUAAGACUGGGAUAACUCCGGGAAACCGGAGCUAAUACCGGAUAGUUCCUUGAACCGCAUGGUUCAAGGAUGAAAGACGGUUUCGGCUGUCACUUACAGAUGGACCCGCGGCGCAUUAGCUAGUUGGUGAGGUAACGGCUCACCAAGGCGACGAUGCGUAGCCGACCUGAGAGGGUGAUCGGCCACACUGGGACUGAGACACGGCCCAGACUCCUACGGGAGGCAGCAGUAGGGAAUCUUCCGCAAUGGACGAAAGUCUGACGGAGCAACGCCGCGUGAGUGAUGAAGGUUUUCGGAUCGUAAAGCUCUGUUGUUAGGGAAGAACAAGUGCAAGAGUAACUGCUUGCGCCUUGACGGUACCUAACCAGAAAGCCACGGCUAACUACGUGCCAGCAGCCGCGGUAAUACGUAGGUGGCAAGCGUUGUCCGGAAUUAUUGGGCGUAAAGGGCUCGCAGGCGGUUUCUUAAGUCUGAUGUGAAAGCCCCCGGCUCAACCGGGGAGGGUCAUUGGAAACUGGGAAACUUGAGUGCAGAAGAGGAGAGUGGAAUUCCACGUGUAGCGGUGAAAUGCGUAGAGAUGUGGAGGACACCAGUGGCGAA